rnacentral:rRNA from 1 species
UACGUAGGGUGCGAGCGUUAAUCGGAAUUACUGGGCGUAAAGCGUGCGCAGGCGGUUCGACAAGUCCGAUGUGAAAGCCCCGGGCUCAACCUGGGAAUGGCAUUGGAAACUGGCGAGCUAGAGUGUGGCAGAGGGGGGUGGAAUUCCGCGUGUAGCAGUGAAAUGCGUAGAGAUGCGGAGGAACACCGGUGGCGAAGGCGGGUCUCUGGGCCGAUACUGACGCUGAGGAGCGAAAGCGUGGGGAGCGAACAGG